rnacentral:rRNA from 1 species
UGAACGCUAGCGGGAGGCCUAACACAUGCAAGCCGAGCGGUAGAGUAUCUCCGGAUACUUGAGAGCGGCGUACGGGUGCGGAACACGUGUGCAACCUGCCUUUAUCAGAGGGAUAGCCUUUCGAAAGGAAGAUUAAUACCUCAUAAUAUACUGAUUGGNAUCAAUUAGUAUUGAAAGCUCUGGCGGAUAGAGAUGGGCACGCGCAAGAUUAGAUAGUUGGUGAGGUAACGGCUCACCAAGUCAAUGAUCUUUAGGGGGCCUGAGAGGGUGAUCCCCCACACUGGUACUGAGACACGGACCAGACUCCUACGGGAGGCAGCAGUGAGGAAUAUUGGACAAUGGGUGGGAAGCCUGAUCCAGCCAUCCCGCGUGAAGGACGACGGCCCUAUGGUUUGUAAACUUCUUUUGGUCAGGGAUAAACCUACUCUCGUGAGGGUAGCUGAAGGUACUGUACGAUUAAGCACCCGUUAACUC